rnacentral:rRNA from 1 species
GAUCAUGGCUCCGGAUGAACGCUAGCUACAGGCUUAACACAUGCAAGUCGAGGGGCAGCGGGAUUGAAGCUUGCUUCAAUUGCCGGCGACCGGCGCACGGGUGAGUAACGUGUAUCCAACCUUCCGUACACUCAGGGAUAGCCUUUCGAAAGAAAGAUUAAUACCUGAUGGUAUCUUAAACACACAUGUAAUUAAGAUUAAAGAUUUAUCGGUGUACGAUGGGGAUGCGUUCCAUUAGGUAGUAGGCGGGG